ACGGCCGCAUCACGUUAAAACAUUGGUUCCCGUACGAUCCUCAAAGUUAAGCAAUGUUGAACCUAGUCAGUACCUAUAUGGUUGACCGUUUGGGAAUACCAGAUGCUGUAAG